GUCUACGACCAUACUACGUUGAAAAUACCGGUUCUCGUCCGAUCACCGAAGUUAAGCAACGUCGGGCCCGGAUAGUACUUGGAUGGGUGACCGCCUGGGAAAACCUUGUGCUGUAGACU
rnacentral:rRNA from 1 species